GGUCAAGUGAAGAAGCGCAUACGGUGGAUGCCUUGGCAGUCAGAGGCGAUGAAAGACGUGGUAGCCUGCGAAAAGCUUCGGGGAGUCGGCAAACAGACUUUGAUCCGGAGAUCUCUGAAUGGGGGAACCCACCUAGGAUAACCUAGGUAUCUUGUACUGAAUCCAUAGGUGCAAGAGGCGAACCAGGGGAACUGAAACAUCUAAGUACCCUGAGGAAAAGAAAUCAACCGAGAUUCCCUUAGUAGUGGCGAGCGAACGGGGAUUAGCCCUUAAGCUUCAUUGAUUUUAGCGGAACGCUCUGGAAAGUGCGGCCAUAGUGGGUGAUAGCCCCGUACGCGAAAGGAUCUUUGAAGUGAAAUCGAGUAGGACGGAGCACGAGAAACUUUGUCUGAACAUGGGGGGACCAUCCUCCAAGGCUAAAUACUACUGACUGACCGAUAGUGAACCAGUACCGUGAGGGAAAGGCGAAAAGAACCCCGGAGAGGGGAGUGAAAUAGAACCUGAAACCGUAUGCGUACAAGCAGUGGGAGCCUACUUGUUAGGUGACUGCGUACCUUUUGUAUAAUGGGUCAGCGACUUAUAUUCAGUGGCAAGCUUAACCGUAUAGGGUAGGCGUAGCGAAAGCGAGUCUUAAUAGGGCGUUUAGUCGCUGGGUAUAGACCCGAAACCGGGCGAUCUAUCCAUGAGCAGGUUGAAGGUUAGGUAACACUGACUGGAGGACCGAACCCACUCCCGUUGAAAAGGUAGGGGAUGACUUGUGGAUCGGAGUGAAAGGCUAAUCAAGCUCGGAGAUAGCUGGUUCUCCUCGAAAGCUAUUUAGGUAGCGCCUCAUGUAUCACUCUGGGGGGUAGAGCACUGUUUCGGCUAGGGGGUCAUCCCGACUUACCAAACCGAUGCAAACUCCGAAUACCCAGAAGUGCCGAGCAUGGGAGACACACGGCGGGUGCUAACGUCCGUCGUGAAAAGGGAAACAACCCAGACCGCCAGCUAAGGUCCCAAAGUUGUGGUUAAGUGGUAAACGAUGGGAAGGCUUAGACAGCUAGGAGGUUGGCUUAGAAGCAGCCAUCCUUUAAAGAAAGCGUAAUAGCUCACUAGUCGAGUCGGCCUGCGCGGAAGAUGUAACGGGGCUCAAACCACACACCGAAGCUGCGGGUGUCACGUAAGUGACGCGGUAGAGGAGCGUUCUGUAAGCCUGUGAAGGUGAGUUGAGAAGCUUGCUGGAGGUAUCAGAAGUGCGAAUGCUGACAUGAGUAACGACAAUGGUGUGAAAACACCCACGCCGAAAGACCAAGGGUUCCUGCGCAACGUUAAUCGACGCAGGGUUAGUCGGUUCCUAAGGCGAGGCUGAAAAGCGUAGUCGAUGGGAAACAGGUUAAUAUUCCUGUACUUCUGGUUACUGCGAUGGAGGGACGGAGAAGGCUAGGCCAGCUUGGCGUUGGUUGUCCAAGUUUAAGGUGGUAGGCUGAAAUCUUAGGUAAAUCCGGGGUUUCAAGGCCGAGAGCUGAUGACGAGUCGUCUUUUAGAUGACGAAGUGGUUGAUGCCAUGCUUCCAAGAAAAGCUUCUAAGCUUCAGGUAACCAGGAACCGUACCCCAAACCGACACAGGUGGUCGGGUAGAGAAUACCAAGGCGCUUGAGAGAACUCGGGUGAAGGAACUAGGCAAAAUGGCACCGUAACUUCGGGAGAAGGUGCGCCGGCUAGGGUGAAGGAUUUACUCCGUAAGCUCUGGCUGGUCGAAGAUACCAGGCCGCUGCGACUGUUUAUUAAAACACAGCACUCUGCAAACACGAAAGUGGACGUAUAGGGUGUGACGCCUGCCCGGUGCCGGAAGGUUAAUUGAUGGGGUUAGCGCAAGCGAAGCUCUUGAUCGAAGCCCGGUAAACGGCGGCCGUAACUAUAACGGUCCUAAGGUAGCGAAAUUCCUUGUCGGGUAAGUUCCGACCUGCACGAAUGGCGUAACGAUGGCGGCGCUGUCUCCACCGAGACUCAGUGAAAUUGAAAUCGCUGUGAAGAUGCAGUGUAUCCGCGGCUAGACGGAAAGACCCCGUGAACCUUUACUGUAGCUUUGCACUGGACUUUGAGCCUGCUUGUGUAGGAUAGGUGGGAGGCUUUGAAGCGUGGACGCCAGUUCGCGUGGAGCCAUCCUUGAAAUACCACCCUGGCAUGCUUGAGGUUCUAACUCUGGUCCGUGAUCCGGAUCGAGGACAGUGUAUGGUGGGCAGUUUGACUGGGGCGGUCUCCUCCUAAAGAGUAACGGAGGAGUACGAAGGUGCGCUCAGACCGGUCGGAAAUCGGUCGCAGAGUAUAAAGGCAAAAGCGCGCUUGACUGCGAGACAGACACGUCGAGCAGGUACGAAAGUAGGUCUUAGUGAUCCGGUGGUUCUGUAUGGAAGGGCCAUCGCUCAACGGAUAAAAGGUACUCCGGGGAUAACAGGCUGAUACCGCCCAAGAGUUCAUAUCGACGGCGGUGUUUGGCACCUCGAUGUCGGCUCAUCACAUCCUGGGGCUGAAGCCGGUCCCAAGGGUAUGGCUGUUCGCCAUUUAAAGUGGUACGCGAGCUGGGUUUAGAACGUCGUGAGACAGUUCGGUCCCUAUCUGCCGUGGACGUUUGAGAUUUGAGAGGGGCUGCUCCUAGUACGAGAGGACCGGAGUGGACGAACCUCUGGUGUUCCGGUUGUCACGCCAGUGGCAUUGCCGGGUAGCUAUGUUCGGAAAAGAUAACCGCUGAAAGCAUCUAAGCGGGAAACUUGCCUCAAGAUGAGAUCUCACUGGGAACUUGAUUCCCCUGAAGGGCCGUCGAAGACUACGACGUUGAUAGGCUGGGUGUGUAAGCGUUGUGAGGCGUUGAGCUAACCAGUACUAAUUGCCCGUGAGGCUUGACCAU
rnacentral:rRNA from 1 species